AGUAAAAUUUUCAUCAAUUUCUAUGAUUAAAAACUGAUGAUUCUGACAGAAUAAUCAGACAAUUACAUGUGGCAUGCCAUGUGUAUCUCAUUUUAAUACACAUGGACAAUUUUUAAACCGUAAAAAUUAAUGAAUUUUUUUACA
rfam:Gossypium arboreum cultivar AKA8401 contig_4991_3, whole genome shotgun sequence.